GGAAACGUUUUCCUAAUGACAGCAGUUCAAACAGUUUAUGGGGAGGGUGUGAGGAGUCCCUGACAGUGUUCAGUGUCCUGCUCCUGCAGUGGCUCUGGAAAGGUUCAGAGCUAGCUGCUUGUCCGUCCACCAGGAACGAUCUGCAGGAUUCAGGAGUGAAGCAUCUGUGUGGUUUUCUGGAGAAUCCAGACUGCAUCCUGCAGACUCUGAGGUCAGUUCACUGACUGUCUGUUACUGUUGGAGAUCUGAUGUGUUUAAUGACAACUGAAGCUCAUUUAUGUUCAAACAGAACUUCAUCCAUGAAGCUGUAAAUCUGCUCUGGUUCAUGUUUUCUGCUUUUUGUCCUGAAUUCAGUUUGUUGUGACAAAAGCUGAGUGUUUGUAUCAGAAACUGUAGAAAAUGUUCAGUGUUAAUUGUUAAAGUCAAUGAAUGUUUGUAGUUUGUGCUGAAGAGUCACAUCUGGAUCCAGAAGAUCCUCUGAACUCAGAUCAGUUUGAAGAGAAAUAUUUCUUUGCUUUGUGUUCAGUUCAGUGUGAUUUCACUGAUACUGA